UGCUGUAACAUAACUAAAUGCGGAAAUAUUCAGGGGUUUGAACACUUUCUGAAGGCACUGUACCUGCUGAAUGAAUUUUAUUUCGAUUGUUCAGAUUCACAAUCAGCAAUCAUUUUGGUUUUGCUUUAAACAAUCAGUGUAUAUGGUCCUUUUUAGACACACAGGGUAAAGUUUAUAAUUUCACAACAAGGACAGCAGUCACUUUUGCGAGAAGCACUGCAUGGCCAAAGCAAGAGGAGAUUGGGGUGAAGUUGGUUUUGAGAUUGGGGUGAAAUCCAAAGUUGCGUUUAUACAUUCAUUGGCUAUGUCAUAGCUAAUUUAUAAAUGCUAAAUACUGAUACAUUUCUGGCUCAAACACUUCAUCUGCAAAAAUGACAAGUUAAUUAGUGGGUGAUGGUUAGGCUUGGGCGAUAUAUACCGUUUAUACCGUAUACCGAGGUAUUUCGAAAUACAGACGGCAGGAUUAACUAUAAAUAAAGUAUAACUAUAAGAAAACGAAGAUGUGUCAAAUAAAUGAUAUCCAGCUCAGGGCUCCAGCUAUGCAUUUGGUUUGCUAACACACACACGCGCGCACACACACACACACACACACACACACACCUCAGACAGAUCCAGCUCAGAGACGCCCAGCUCAGGAGCUCCACCAGCAGCAGGUUUUAAUUUAGAACGGAAAAUGAAUGAGUUUAUGAGCAUCGAAUCGUAUCGCAGCAGUUGAGCCGAGAUAACUGAGACGCUGAUCACAUUUGUUCGAUUCAUUAUAAAACGAUGUUGCGGGAUAACAGUAGUCCUUGAGUUCUUAUCUGACAUCAUCAUCACUUCAAUCUGGCCAUCUCUAACGAAUGCCUCAAGAUGUACCAAUCACAUGAGCUCACUACAAACUCUUGAGCUUUGAAACGCCACUUAAGGCUACAUAUUGCAAGACAGAAGGGCGCUGUUUCAGUCGAUUGGAUGCAAUUUUGGACUAAGAUGUGAAGUCGGGCCUGCUCCCCCUCUUCUCCCAAUAGUUGAAGAGGCCGUGCCCAGUUGAAAAUCACCCCGAUAUUUGCCUCGAAAGUGAACCGGAACUAUACCAAAACUAAUAUCACACAUAUAAUAAGAGAUUAAAAUAAAUGAAGUAGCCUCAAGUAUGAUGGGGAAGAAUGGAUGAGUUGAUGAACGAGUGGAAGCGAACGAUGCAUAAUUACGUGUUCACCAAUUUUGAAUGAAGAACAGGGCGGGCCAUUCUAAUGUAUUGAUCUAUUCUUAGAAUCUCAAAAUGUUAUGUCCUCUAUCAUUCUACUCCGGCCUCCUUGGAGUACACAAGAGAGCGUAUGUAAUUUACAACGGCAAGAAGACCAAGACUAAUGCAUGCACGAGUUAGCAUUGCUACAACAUCUGAAGGAAAACAACUCCGAUGGUGGGGAAGAAAAAAAAUCAUUAUGACAUCUCUGAUGAGAAUUCUUCUGAUUCUGAACCUCAACCUGAACCUGAGGGCUAAACGCAAAAAAAAUGUGCAGAAUUGUGCGCACUGAGCAGGUGCCCACGCCACCACCAAAUGAAACGGUGCGACUGGAGAGAGGACGGCACCGUUUGGAAUAGAACACGCCGGUGAGAAUUCUACUGGCUACUAUCAGCACAUCAUGUCGUCACUGCGGGAGUAGGCCCUACACAUCAAGCAAGAAAUAAAAUCAUCAAUGCACUCAACAGCUUUUGUUGUUUAGGCUAUGUGAAAUGGACAUUCUCCAAGUGAUAAUGGACUUUUUGACUGCUGUCUUAUCUACACUUAUAUUCAUAAUGGCAUUAUUGCUUUUGUGACGAUUUUUACUAUUAUCUAGCAGACUUGGCGCUUGUAAUGAUGUUUAGGCUACUGAUGUUUUCAUCUUUUCACCAUGCAUCUUGCUGACCGUGCAUUUUGGUGGUUGGGGUAUUCAUUUUUAUUUCGUUUAAUAAGAAUCUUAUACCGGGUUCCAA